rnacentral:rRNA from 1 species
GAUGAACGCUGGCGGCGUGCCUAAUACAUGCAAGUCGAGCGAACGGACGAGAAGCUUGCUUCUCUAAUGUUAGCGGCGGACGGGUGAGUAACACGUGGAUAACCUACCUAUAAGACUGGGAUAACUUCGGGAAACCGUAGCUAAUACCGGAUAAUAUUUUGAACCGCAUGGUUCAAAAGUGAAAGACGGUCUUGCUGUCACUUAUAGAUGGAUCCGCGCUGCAUUAGCUAGUUGGUAAGGUAACGGCUUACCAAGGCAACGAUGCAUAGCCGACCUGAGAGGGUGAUCGGCCACACUGGAACUGAGACACGGUCCAGACUCCUACGGGAGGCAGCAGUAGGGAAUCCUCCGCAAUGGGCGAAAGCCUGACGGAGCAACGCCGCGUGAGUGAUGAAGGUCUUCGGAUCGUAAAACUCUGUUAUUAGGGAAGAACAUAUGUGUAAGUAACUGUGCACAUCUUGACGGUACCUAAUCAGAAAGCCACGGCUAACUACGUG